rnacentral:rRNA from 1 species
UGGGGAAUCUUCCGCAAUGGACGAAAGUCUGACGGAGCAACGCCGCGUGAGUGAUGACGGCCUUCGGGUUGUAAAGCUCUGUUAAUCGGGACGAAUGGUUCUUGUGCGAAUAGUGCGAGGAUUUGACGGUACCGGAAUAGAAAGCCACGGCUAACUACGUGCCAGCAGCCGCGGUAAUACGUAGGUGGCAAGCGUUGUCCGGAAUUAUUGGGCGUAAAGCGCGCGCAGGCGGAUUGGUCAGUCUGUCUUAAAAGUUCGGGGCUUAACCCCGUGAUGGGAUGGAAACUGCCCAUCUAGAGUACCGGAGAGGAAAGGGGAAUUCCUAGUGUAGCGGUGAAAUGCGUAGAUAUUAGGAAGAACACCAGUGGCGAAGGCGACUUUCUGGACGAAAACUGACGCUGAGGCGCGAAAGCCAGGGGAGCGAACGG